rnacentral:lncRNA from 1 species
UUCGAAUGUUUAGAGCCCUAAGUUAAAUUAGCGACUUUGACAAACUUUACGAUCCGUUUUCGUGUUCAUCCUUCUCAUCCUUUAUCACUAGUAUAGUCUGAUAAUGUAUGUUAAUGCGUUGGUGUAAUUAUAUAUUCUUAUUAUGUCUAUAAAUACAUUAAAUCAUGAUGUUGUAGUGUGUUUAAAGAAUCACAUGGUUACUUGAGUGUUUUCCUAAUAUUCG